UGCAAGUCGAACGAUGAUGCCCAGCUUGCUGGGCGGAUUAGUGGCGAACGGGUGAGUAACACGUGAGUAACCUGCCCUUGACUUCGGGAUAACUCCGGGAAACCGGGGCUAAUACCGGAUAUGAGCCGCCUUCGCAUGGGGGUGGUUGGAAAGUUUUUCGGUCAGGGAUGGGCUCGCGGCCUAUCAGCUUGUUGGUGGGGUGAUGGCCUACCAAGGCGACGACGGGUAGCCGGCCUGAGAGGGCGACCGGCCACACUGGGACUGAGACACGGCCCAGACUCCUACGGGAGGCAGCAGUGGGGAAUAUUGCACAAUGGGCGAAAGCCUGAUGCAGCGACGCCGCGUGAGGGAUGAAGGCCUUCGGGUUGUAAACCUCUUUCAGCAGGGAAGAAGCGCAAGUGACGGUACCUGCAGAAGAAGCGCCGGCUAACUACGUGCCAGCAGCCGCGGUAAUACGUAGGGCGCAAGCGUUGUCCGGAAUUAUUGGGCGUAAAGAGCUCGUAGGCGGUUUUCGCGUCUGGUGUGAAAACUCGAGGCUCAACCUCGAGCUUGCAUCGGGUACGGGCAGACUAGAGUGCGGUAGGGGAGACUGGAAUUCCUGGUGUAGCGGUGGAAUGCGCAGAUAUCAGGAGGAACACCGAUGGCGAAGGCAGGUCUCUGGGCCGCAACUGACGCUGAGGAGCGAAAGCAUGGGGAGCGAACAGGAUUAGAUACCCUGGUAGUCCAUGCCGUAAACGUUGGGCACUAGGUGUGGGGCUCAUUCCACGAGUUCCGUGCCGCAGCAAACGCAUUAAGUGCCCCGCCUGGGGAGUACGGCCGCAAGGCUAAAACUCAAAGGAAUUGACGGGGGCCCGCACAAGCGGCGGAGCAUGCGGAUUAAUUCGAUGCAACGCGAAGAACCUUA
rnacentral:rRNA from 1 species